AACGAACGCUGGCGGCAUGCCUAACACAUGCAAGUCGAACGAGACCUUCGGGUCUAGUGGCGCACGGGUGCGUAACGCGUGGGAACCUGCCCUUAGGUUCGGAAUAACUCCCCGAAAGGGGUGCUAAUACCGGAUAAUGUCUUCGGACCAAAGAUUUAUCGCCUUUGGAUGGGCCCGCGUUGGAUUAGCUAGUUGGUAGGGUAAAAGCCUACCAAGGCGACGAUCCAUAGCUGGUCUGAGAGGAUGAUCAGCCACACUGGGACUGAGACACGGCCCAGACUCCUACGGGAGGCAGCAGUGGGGGAUAUUGGAGAAUGGGCGAAAGCCUGAUCCAGCAAUGCCGCGUGAGUGAUGAAGGCCUUAGGGUUGUAAAGCUCUUUUACCCGGGAUGAUAAUGACAGUACCGGGAGAAUAAGCUCCGGCUAACUCCGUG
rnacentral:rRNA from 1 species